CUGGAUAGUAGCAGGAAGGAAGAGGAGGAGCAAGAGUGGAAGGCUUGUACCAACUAGUUCUUAUCCUUUUUAAUGAGGAAAACAAGAGCAUCCCUAUUCUGCUCUUAUCUCACCAGAAUUUGUAUGUGUUGAAGUUGGUGGAUAGACAUGAGAAGCAGAUUGAGGGAUCUGUGGAAAGGGAGAGGAAGAGGAGGAGGGGGCUGUCAGAGGAGUAAUGGAUGCUAGAGGAAUGGAUUCCCUCCAGU
rnacentral:lncRNA from 1 species